UACCCUGCUGUAGCAGACGGACUACUAUCAGAGACUCGAACUAGGGUCGUUAAACUCUGGAGUCCGAAUGCUGGCCUCUUAACGCUGUACACCACUCAGCAGGGCGAGUAAACUUUGGAAAAAAAAGGACAUUUAUCUUUUGUCCUUCAAUUUUUUAUUUUUUUUUUUGUUAUCGUUUUUCUAAAUCUAUUAAGCUUCUUGUGCAAUAUUGUUCCACACAAAUUACACAUGGACACCUAGCUAUUUUUUUAUUGGCAUUCACAAAAUGGGACUGGAUGUUGGACGGCUUACCAAAGCCUUCCUGCUACCCGAAUCCCUGCUUGGAAACCUGCUGGCCGCGGCAGCACCAUGUUUUCACCACACUCUUCCGCUUCAGCUGUCUUUUUUGCCUCAUGGCUAUACCCACACUGACCACUCCUUCAAUGAAGACAGUAAUGAGAUCAUCUGCACACUCCACAGAGCUCCAGAGUUACUGUUCAUAGCAAAAGUGUAAUGCUGUCCUUGGAGAUUUUCACCUAAGACUGUGAGUGUGAGUGUGUAAUGGAUUUCAAAGUGUUUAAGUGUUCAGAGCACUCUACAGCCUGGUAAGGUGGCAAGUUUGAAAAGAGCAGCAGAAGGUAUCAGUACUGUAGUGUAACUUGUUCUUUUCCUUUCCUAACAGUGAACAGAGUGCCGAUUAUUAUCGACAGCUACGUCCACCCGGGGUGAAAGUAGUGUGGGAGACCAUCAGGACCCAGCUGGGUUUCCUUGGUCCAGAGGUUUGGAGAAACCUCUUCCUUUUCUUUCAUCACAGCUGUCCUGUGCCAGAUGUUCUGUUGACCCACUGAGAGAGGCGUGUUUGAGAAAGAUCAGGAAGACUGAAGCUCAUGGUAGGAAUGAAGGAGGACCUUGUGAGCUCCACCAGCAGCUCCCUCACAAGGAACUGUUCACAAGUCCACUGCAGGCACGCCCCAGAAGAUGGAUAAAGGCAGCGUUUCAUGAAGACACUGGAACCAAUCUAUCUUCAUAACAGCAGGAUAAAGACAUGGUGAUAAAUGAGUGUGUGGGCCGUCUGCUGAGGACCAGGAGCUCAGGACACUCAGACGGGGGCGUCGCAGCAGGAGUCACCGCGCACCACAAUCCUCUGCUGUUCUGAGAUGUCACACUCCUGCCUGCACAUAGAAACCACAGUGAAGUCAAAGUUCCACCUGCACCUCCACCUGUUCUUGCAACAGCAUGAACACUGACAGAGGAGGAAGGUGGAGGCGCAGCUCCAGCAGAGCAACACCAGAGGU